UACAGAGGGUGCAAGCGUUAAUCGGAGUUACUGGGCGUAAAGGGCGCGUAGGCUGGUAUUUAAGUCGAUUGUGAAAUCCCUGGGCUUAACCUAGGAAUUGCAGUCGAUACUGAAUAUCUUGAGUAUGGUAGAGGAAAGUGGAAUUUUCGGUGUAGUGGUUAAAUACGUAGAUAUCGAGAAGAACACCGGUGGCGAAGGCGACUUUCUGGACCAAUACUGACGCUGAGGCGCGAAAGCGUGGGGAG
rnacentral:rRNA from 1 species